CAGCCGCCGCGGUAAUACAGAGGGUGCGAGCGUUAAUCGGAUUUACUGGGCGUAAAGCGUGCGUAGGCGGCUUUUUAAGUCGGAUGUGAAAUCCCUGAGCUUAACUUAGGAAUUGCAUUCGAUACUGGGAAGCUAGAGUAUGGGAGAGGAUGGUAGAAUUCCAGGUGUAGCGGUGAAAUGCGUAGAGAUCUGAAGGAAUACCGAUGGCGAAGGCAGCCAUCUGGCCUAAUACUGACGCUGAGGUACGAAAGCAUGGGGAGCAAACAGGAUUAGAUACCCGGGUAGUCCCUGUCUCUUAUAC
rnacentral:rRNA from 1 species